rnacentral:rRNA from 1 species
UGACUAGAGUGGCGAACUGGUGAGUAACACGUAAGAAACCUGCCCUUUAGUGGGGGAUAACAUUUGGAAACAGAUGCUAAUACCGCGUAACAACAAAUCACACAUGUGAUCUGUUUGAAAGGUCCUUUUGGAUCGCUAGAGGAUGGUCUUGCGGCGUAUUAGCUUGUUGGUAGGGUAGAAGCCUACCAAGGCAAUGAUGCGUAGCCGAGUUGAGAGACUGGCCGGCCACAUUGGGACUGAGACACUGCCCAAACUCCUACGGGAGGCUGCAGUAGGGAAUUUUCCGCAAUGCACGAAAGUGUGACGGAGCGACGCCGCGUGUGUGAUGAAGGCUUUCGGGUCGUAAAGCACUGUUGUAAGGGAAGAAUAACUGAAUUCAGAGAAAGUUUUCAGCUUGACGGUACCUUACCAGAAAGGGAUGGCUAAAUACGUGCCAGCAGCCGCGGUAAUACGUAUGUCCCGAGCGUUAUCCGGAUUUAUUGGGCGUAAAGCGAGCGCAGACGGUUUAUUAAGUCUGAUGUGAAAUCCCGAGGCCCAACCUCGGAACUGCAUUGGAAACUGAUUUACUUGAGUGCGAUAGAGGCAAGUGGAACUCCAUGUGUAGCGGUGAA